rnacentral:tRNA from 1 species
CAUUAGAGAAGCUAUGCUAGCGUUAACCUUUUAAGUUAAAGACUGGGAACCCGAACUUCCCCUCAAUGAAA